rnacentral:rRNA from 1 species
ACCUUACCUGGUCUUGACAUCCAGAGAAUCCUGCAGAGAUGCGGGAGUGCCUUCGGGAACUCUGAGACAGGUGCUGCAUGGCUGUCGUCAGCUCGUGUUGUGAAAUGUUGGGUUAAGUCCCGCAACGAGCGCAACCCUUAUCCUUUGUUGCCAGCGCGUAAUGGCGGGAACUCAAAGGAGACUGCCGGUGAUAAACCGGAGGAAGGUGGGGAUGACGUCAAGUCAUCAUGGCCCUUACGACCAGGGCUACACACGUGCUACAAUGGCAUAUACAAAGAGAAGCGACCUCGCGAGAGUAAGCGGACCUCAUAAAGUAUGUCGUAGUCCGGAUUGGAGUCUGCAACUCGACUCCAUGAAGUCGGAAUCGCUAGUAAUC